GAAUUCAACUCCUACGGGAGGCAGCAGUGGGGAAUUUUGGACAAUGGGGGCAACCCUGAUCCAGCAAUGCCGCGUGAGUGAAGAAGGCCUUCGGGUUGUAAAGCUCUUUUGUCAGGGAAGAAACGGUAGUAGCUAAUAUCUAUUACUAAUGACGGUGCCUGAAGAAUAAGCACCGGCUAACUACGUGCCAGCAGCCGCGGUAAUACGUAGGGUGCAAGCGUUAAUCGGAAUUACUGGGCGCAAAGCGUGCGCAGGCGGUUUUGUAAGUCUGUCGUGAAAUCCCCGGGCUCAACCUGGGAAUUGCGAUGGAGACUGCAAGGCUAGAAUCUGGCAGAGGGGGGUAGAAUUCCACGUGUAGCAGUGAAAUGCGUAGAGAUGUGGAGGAACACCGAUGGCGAAGGCAGCCCCCUGGGUCAAGAUUGACGCUCAUGCACGAAAGCGUGGGGAGCAAACAGGAUUAGAAACCCCAGUAGUCCAGGCGUU
rnacentral:rRNA from 1 species